GUGUAGCGGUGAAAUGCGCAGAGAUAUGGAGGAACACCAGUGGCGAAGGCGACUUUCUGGUCUGUAACUGACGCUGAUGUGCGAAAGCGUGGGGAUCAAACAGGAUUAGAUCCCCUGGUAGUCCACGCCGUAAACGAUGAGUGCUAAGUGUUAGGGGGUUUCCGCCCCUUAGUGCUGCAGCUAACGCAUUAAGCACUCCGCCUGGGGAGUACGACCGCAAGGUUGAAACUCAAAGGAAU
rnacentral:rRNA from 1 species